UCCUCAUCCUCAGCUGCUCUUACCGCGCCU
rnacentral:sRNA from 1 species